rnacentral:rRNA from 1 species
UACGGAGGGGGCUAGCGUUGUUCGGAAAUACUGGGCGUAAAGCGAACGUAGGCGGCUUGGCAAGUCAGGGGUGAAACCCCAGUGCUCAACACUGGAACUGCCUUUGAAACUGCCAGGCUUGAAUCCUGGAGAGGCGAGUGGAAUUCCGAGUGUAGAGGUGAAAUUCGUAGAUAUUCGGAAGAACACCAGUGGCGAAGGCGACUCGCUGGACAGGUAUUGACGCUGAGGUUCGAAAGCGUGGGGAGCAAACAGG